rnacentral:rRNA from 1 species
UACGUAGGGGGCAAGCGUUGUCCGGAAUUAUUGGGCGUAAAGCGCGCGCAGGCGGCUCUUUAAGUCUGGUGUUUAAUCCCGAGGCUCAACUUCGGGUCGCACUGGAAACUGGAGGGCUUGAGUGCAGAAGAGGAGAGUGGAAUUCCACGUGUAGCGGUGAAAUGCGUAGAGAUGUGGAGGAACACCAGUGGCGAAGGCGACGUCUCUGGGCUGUAACUGACGCUGAGGCGCGAAAGCGUGGGGAGCAAACAGG